ensembl:lncRNA
CGGCAGGGUAGCCUAGUGGUUAGAGUGUAGAGGUGGCAGGGUAGCCUAGUGGUUGGACUGUAGGGGCGGCAGGGUAGCCUAGUGGUUAGAGUGUAGAGGUGGCAGGGUAGCCUAGUGGUUAGAGUGUAGAGGUGGCAGGGUAGCCUAGUGGUUAGAGUGUAGAGGUGGCAGGGUAGCCUAGUGGUUAGAGUGUAGAGGUGGCAGGUAGCCUAGUGGUUAGAGUGUAGAGGUGGCAGGGCAGCCUAGUGGUUAGAGUGUAGAGGUGGCAGGGUAGCCUAGUGGUUAGAGUGUAGAGGUGGCAGGUAGCCUAGUGGUUAGAGUGUAGAGGCGGCAGGGUAGCCUAGUGAUUAGAGUGUAGAGGUGGCAGGGUAGCCUAGUGGUUAGAGUGUAGAGGUGGCAGGUAGCCUAGUGGUUAGAGUGUAGAGGUGGCAAGUAGCCUAGUGGUUAGAGUGUAGAGGUGGCAGGGUAGCCUAGUGGUUAGAGUGUAGAGGUGGCAG